rnacentral:tRNA from 1 species
GCUGGAAUAGCUCAGUUGGUUAGAGCGUGUGGCUGUUAACCACACGGUCGGAGGUUCGACCCCUCCUUCUAGCGA